UACGUAGGGGGCAAGCGUUGUCCGGAUUUAUUGGGCGUAAAGAGCGUGUAGGCGGCCAGACAGGUCCGUUGUGAAAACUAGAGGCUUAACCUCUAGACGUCGAUGGAAACCGUCUGGCUAGAGUCCGGAAGAGGAGAAUGGAAUUCCUGGUGUAGCGGUGAAAUUCGUAGAUAUUCGGAAGAACACCAGUGGCGAAGGCGACUUACUGGACACAUAUUGACGCUGAGGUGCGAAAGCGUGGGGAGCAAACAGG
rnacentral:rRNA from 1 species